rnacentral:lncRNA from 1 species
UGCUUAAUUUCGCUAUACAUUUCUAUACAAUGACAAAACGCAUCGCUUGCUGAAGCUCAAGAAGACGUGGACGUGGACGCGGGUGUCCCCGACGACGGGUUGAAGGCGGCCUGCUCCCCGCAGCUGAGCACCUCGUGCGGGCCGGCCUCCUCGCGGCCAACGCCCAUCAGGUCAAGGUAGUACUGGUAGUGGGAGACCAUGUUGUUCAUGUGCUCGUCGUCGCCCUUGCCGCAGACGUCGUCGCCAUAGAGGAUGUUCAUGGUGGCACCGAACCCGGGGACCCGCUUGGCCAGGGUGUCGUUCUUCGUGGGCUUCCAGUUGCCGACGAACACGUCGUGGGCCGACGGCUGGUGCUUCUUGUCCGGUGUCAUCCACCGCCAG